GCUCAGAAACUUAAGGAAUUGACGGGGGCCCGCACAAGCGGUGGAGCAUGUGGUUUAAUUCGAUGAUACGCGAGGAACCUUACCUGGGCUCAAAUGUAUGUUGACGUAUUCUGAAAGGGAUACUUCUUCGGACAAUAUACAAGGUGCUGCAUGGUUGUCGUCAGCUCGUGCCGUGAGGUGUCGGGUUAAGUCCCAUAACGAGCGCAACCCCUAUCAUUAGUUGCCAUCAGGUCAAGCUGGGGACUCUAAUGAAACUGCCUACGCAAGUAGUGAGGAAGGUGGGGAUGACGUCAAAUCAGCACGGCCCUUACGUCCAGGGCUACACACGUGCUACAAUGGCCGGUACAAAGGGCAGCUACCUGGUGACAGGAUGCUAAUCUCAAAAGCCGGUCUCAGUUCGGAUCGGAGUCUGCAACCCGACUCCGUGAAGCUGGAGUCGCUAGUAAUCGCGCAUCAGCCAUGGCGCGGUGAAUACGUUCCCGGGCCUU
rnacentral:rRNA from 1 species